GGGAGACAAAAGGGAGGUGUGUGUCAGGGGAGGGGGGAGAGGCAAUUUACCUUUCGCAAUUGAUUGGUGUUGUUUGAGCAGGAAUGCUAGGCGGCCAAGUUGGCCUGCGCCGCUAACCCCCGUGAUGCCGAUAAUCUCAUAAAGUGGGGGAGUGCGCUUCUGAAUCUAUCAUCUUUUCAGAAAAAAAAAAAACCUCGAGGAUAUGGUGAAAGAAGCCAUAAUGAAACUGGAACAAGCCUUGGAGGUGGAUCCUAAAAGGCAUGCCACAGUAUUCAUCUUGGGGAAUGCCCAUAGUCAGCAAGGGUUCUUCAACCCUAAUGAACAGGUUGCUUUAGGUUGCUUGGACAAGGCAACUCAGUGCUUCGAGCAUGCUAUGAAAUUGGCACCUGAGUUGUGCCAAGAAAUCCAAUUCCAUAUGGCUAAUCAACAAGCUUCCCAGGAGACAGCUUCCCCUAUUAGAUAGAAGGAAAAAUUCAAUAGGAAAAAGGUGCUUGCUUGACUUUGGGGUAUGCUACAGCCCAGUACUGCCCUAAUAUAAAUCCGUCUCUACUGCCCUAAUAUAAAUCUGUCUCUGGUUCUGCCCUAUUUUUCUUGGUACAUUUAAUUGUAGUACUGCUUGUGCUAGGAAUAUUUGUCUAAACUAUGGACUAGAAUUGUAUCAAUAUCAAAUUUCAGCUUCAGAAGUAGAAGCAUAAACUUCAAACUUCAGUUUAGACUGCAUAAGAUGGUUUUGUCCAUCAGUAGAUUCUUUGUUUCUUAAU